rnacentral:sRNA from 1 species
CUUGGUCAUUUAGAGGAAGUAAAAGUCGUAACAAGGUUUCCGUAGGUGAACCUGCGGAAGGAUCAUUAAAUGAUAGUACUGGCCCUAAGGUGUGGUAAUACAUGCCGGUGGGCUUCACGUCUAUUACCCUUGUUUUUCGAGUACCUAUGUUUCCUUGGUGGGCUUGCCCACCAAUUGGACACCCUAUUAAACCUUUUUAAUUUUUAAUCAGCGUCUGAAUAAACUUAAUAAUUACAACUUUCAACAACGGAUCUCUUGGUUCUGGCAUCGAUGAAGAACGCAGCGAAAUGCGAUAAGUAGUGUGAAUUGCAGAAUUCAGUGAAUCAUCGAAUCUUUGAACGCACAUUGCGCCCCUUGGUAUUCCAUGGGGCAUGCCUGUUCGAGCGUCAUUUGUACCCUCAAGCUAUGCUUGGUGUUGGGUGUUUGUCCUCUCCAUUGCGUUUGGACUCGCCUUAAAGCAAUUGGCAGCCAGUGUUUUGGUUUUAAGCGCAGCACAUUUUGCGUCUUACUCCCUUGAAUACUAGCAUCCAUUAAGCCUUUUUAUCACUUUUGACCUCGGAUCAGGUAGGGAUACCCGCUGAACUUAAGCAUAUCAAUAAGCGGAGGAAAAGAAACCAACAGGGAUUGCCCUAGUAACGGCGAGUGAAGCGGCAACAGCUCAAAUUUGAAAUCUGGCUCUUUCAGAGUCCGAGUUGUAAUUUGCAGAGGGCGCUUUGGCGUUGGCAGCGGUCCAAGUUCUUUGGAACAGGACGUCACAGAGGGUGAGAAUCCCGUACGUGGUCGCUAGACUUCGCCGUGUAAAGCCCCUUCGACGAGUCGAGUUGUUUGGGAAU